UACAGAGGGUGCGAGCGUUGUCCGGAAUCACUGGGCGUAAAGGGCGCGUAGGCGGCCUGAUAAGUAGGGGGUGAAAUCCUGUGGCUUAACUGCAGGGCUGCCUCCUAGACUGUUAGGCUCGAGCACGGUAGAGGCAGAUGGAAUUCCCGGUGUAGCGGUGGAAUGCGUAGAUAUUCGCAAGAACACCAGUGGCGAAGGCGGCUCACUGGCCCGGUACUGACGCUGAGGUGCGAAAGCGUGGGGAGCAAACAGG
rnacentral:rRNA from 1 species